UAAUGCAUGAACCGGUGUUCGUUCUCUAUCCUCAAUGCAUCCCUCAUCCACCCACUACCAUUUCUGAUGUGGAGAUGACGGAUCAUGGGCUCUGGGAUUCGUUCUGAGAUUAAACGGUCAAGAUCUGAUCUGGAUAAUGCCAGCGAAGAGAAAUCAUGCUAUCCCUCUUU
rnacentral:ncRNA from 1 species